rnacentral:lncRNA from 1 species
GGUGGGAGCAAGAAGGAAGUGCCAUGAGCACCAGCCCCGCCUUCACACCGUGGGAGGCAGCCCAGAGGCCACCGGCACAGGGUGGUGGCCCCCAGAUCAUACAGCAGUGGACACAGGGGAAGCAAACCUGAGUGAGGACACAAGAGCCUGGUCCGGCUCCGCUGCACAGGAGAAACAUAAUUGAGGUGGAAGGAUCCAGAAGAAAGGAACCAGUGAUGAUGAGGACAGAGGGCUCUCCACGGGAAGAUUGCCACCAGUUCACUGAGAGGAGUCAUUGAAAACAUGGCAUUGAGGACAGAGACUGCCACUUCAGAAUUUUCUACAUCCAACUGCUGAAGCCACUCGAAGAUAUUUCCCUCAGAGAACCAUAACCAGCUUUGGAGAAGAUGCUUCCACAUAGCUUGUUUCACAGCAUCUCAUCUCUCAUUAAAACCUUGUUGAGGGAGCAUUACUGUCUGAGCAAUGGACAUAGCUCUCAUACGAACCUUUUCAGCUAACACCGGAUAAGCCAGCUUUCUGACAGCCUCUUUCACAUCCUUGGUGCACCCUACAAUUUUUGGCAAAGUCUUUGCUGAUGGUGCAAUACAUGAUAACACUGCCUGUCUAAGUUCUGGAUUCAAAUCAAUCAUUUUCGAUCAAAGUAGCAUAUGCAUUAACCACUGGGCAUUCAUCAUCCUUUGGAUCCUGAAGUCGUGAAAGCGCCAGAACUGCCUGUAUUCUCACAUUUGGAAUCUUAUCUUUCAGUCUAAUAAGCAUGGCUUCAUUAAUUUUGUCAAACACACCAUCAUCAAUCUGAGCUUCUUCUGGCAUACUUCUCAAAAGCUUGUUUAUGCAGCUCCUGGUUCUUGAACUAACGUAGGCAUCAGCACAGCUGAUUCUCAUUCAGGAGAAGACAGUGCUGUGCCCAGGGGCCCCUGAGCCAUUGCCCAGCUUUCCAGCUUUCCAGGAAGUCUGCACUGGAGAAGCAUUCAACCUCCUCUGAGCUAACAUUUUCAUGUGCACACGUGAUUAUGAGUGUGAUACAGACAUUAUUUUACUUGUGUAACUAAUUUUUAAAUCAGACUAAUAAAAAAAGUUAUCAGUCUA